UACGAAGGGUGCAAGCGUUACUCGGAAUUACUGGGCGUAAAGCGUGCGUAGGUGGUUCGUUAAGUCUGAUGUGAAGGCCCUGGGCUCAACCUGGGAAUGGCAUUGGAAACUGGCGACCUAGAGUGCGGUAGAGGGCAGUGGAAUUCCCGGUGUAGCAGUGAAAUGCGUAGAGAUCGGGAGGAACAUCUGUGGCGAAGGCGACUGCCUGGACCAGCACUGACACUGAGGCACGAAAGCGUGGGGAGCAAACAGG
rnacentral:rRNA from 1 species